AGUCGAGCGGCAGCGGAAAGUAGCUUGCUACUUUGCCGGCGAGCGGCGGACGGGUGAGUAAUGUCUGGGAAACUGCCUGAUGGAGGGGGAUAACUACUGGAAACGGUAGCUAAUACCGCAUGACCUCGAAAGAGCAAAGUGGGGGAUCUUCGGACCUCACGCCAUCGGAUGUGCCCAGAUGGGAUUAGCUAGUAGGUGAGGUAAUGGCUCACCUAGGCGACGAUCCCUAGCUGGUCUGAGAGGAUGACCAGCCACACUGGAACUGAGACACGGUCCAGACUCCUACGGGAGGCAGCAGUGGGGAAUAUUGCACAAUGGGCGCAAGCCUGAUGCAGCCAUGCCGCGUGUGUGAAGAAGGCCUUAGGGUUGUAAAGCACUUUCAGCGAGGAGGAAGGCAUCACACUUAAUACGUGUGGUGAUUGACGUUACUCGCAGAAGAAGCACCGGCUAACUCCGUGCCAGCAGCCGCGGUAAUACGGAGGGUGCAAGCGUUAAUCGGAAUUACUGGGCGUAAAGCGCACGCAGGCGGUUUGUUAAGUCAGAUGUGAAAUCCCCGCGCUUAACGUGGGAACUGCAUUUGAAACUGGCAAGCUAGAGUCUUGUAGAGGGGGGUAGAAUUCCAGGUGUAGCGGUGAAAUGCGUAGAGAUCUGGAGGAAUACCGGUGGCGAAGGCGGCCCCCUGGACAAAGACUGACGCUCAGGUGCGAAAGC
rnacentral:rRNA from 1 species